rnacentral:rRNA from 1 species
GAACCACGGGCCGAAUUGGCCCGGGUAGAUCGACCGCGUCGUUUGGACCGCGUCACACGAGGGGUAACCCUGAGGAAAGCCACGACCCUAGACAUCGGGGAGGAAAACCACGGCUCGAGAUAACGACGGUGCCGUCGACCAAGAUCCAGUGCCCUGCCUGGCUGCCUCCUCCGCGUCCGAGCUCCUCCACCGGCGACAUAAGCGACGCCCUCAACCCCCUCCGUCUGUUGCUCAGGAUCCAAGCUCCGCCCCUCCAGCAACGGUGAUGGACCGCGGCCGUCACCGUCCUCCUUCCCGGAUCUCUACUCCGCCUCUAAGCUCUGGCCUCCUCUGGUGACCGCGACGACGACGGUUCUCUGUUCGUUUUCUACCUCCUCCGGUCAAGAUCCAGGAAAGUGAGCACAGCCUCCUCUCAGAUCAUUUUCACCAUCGUCAAUCUCAGGACAAAGUGGCUGUGCUUUUCCUUCCACCGGGAUCUCGACGGCGAGAGGAAUCUAUGUCAUGUCCAACCAUGGCGACGACCCGGUGUUCGUCUUGCUCCUCCCCUCUUCCACCUCAUAUAGCUUCUUGUCAUCAUGUCCUUGCAAUGAUAGUUGUUGCUCCAGAUCCAAGACGUGAUUGCACUCAGGAAUUAUUAUGGUCCGGAGUACAAAUCUUGGAGUGCGGUACGUGCUUCAAUGUCAACUUAUCGAAGGCAGCAAGUGCCCCUAAAACAUCGAGCUGUGGUACCUGAUGUCGACGUGGAGUGGGGAACGAGCUGAGCAAAACUAUUGACCAUCACCUUGCAGCUCAUCUUCUUCAGUAGUGUGUCCGCCUCAAACAUGACAACUUGGGAAUUUAGAGUUUUUUGUAUUGUACAACUCAUUAGCUCCUAUGCUUCUGCUAUAGCUAACCUUUUGCCUUAGUUGUAAUGGUGCAGUCCUAAAAAUUGAGUACCAAUCUUAACAAUGAUGGGUCAUAUUAGGUGUAAUGUAUUGCACACGAAAACGAUUUAGGCUAUCACUUGAUCGCGGUGAAAUGUAGACCAAUAUCUUAACCUUGAUAAAGUGAUGAAAUAUCAGUUGUAUUAUUUUUGGAAAUUUAUUUAUUGAAUUCUGAUUUUUGUAUAUGCC